GGCUGUGUGGCCUAGUGGAUAGAGCACUGGACUGGGACUCAGGACACCUGGGUUCUCUUCCCAGCUCAGCCA
rnacentral:tRNA from 1 species